UCAGGACGAACGCUGGCGGCGUGCUUAACACAUGCAAGUCGAACGGUGAAGCCCUUCGGGGUGGAUCAGUGGCGAACGGGUGAGUAACACGUGGGCAAUCUGCCCUGCACUCUGGGACAAGCCCUGGAAACGGGGUCUAAUACCGGAUAUUACCUUCCUCUGCAUGGGGGUUGGUGGAAAGCUCCGGCGGUGCAGGAUGAGCCCGCGGCCUAUCAGCUUGUUGGUGGGGUAAUGGCCUACCAAGGCGACGACGGGUAGCCGGCCUGAGAGGGCGACCGGCCACACUGGGACUGAGACACGGCCCAGACUCCUACGGGAGGCAGCAGUGGGGAAUAUUGCACAAUGGGCGAAAGCCUGAUGCAGCGACGCCGCGUGAGGGAUGACGGCCUUCGGGUUGUAAACCUCUUUCAGCAGGGAAGAAGCGAAAGUGACGGUACCUGCAGAAGAAGCACCGGCUAACUACGUGCCAGCAGCCGCGGUAAUACGUAGGGUGCGAGCGUUGUCCGGAAUUAUUGGGCGUAAAGAGCUCGUAGGCGGCCUGUCGCGUCGGUUGUGAAAGCCCGGGGCUUAACCCCGGGUCUGCAGUCGAUACGGGCAGGCUAGAGUUCGGUAGGGGAGAUCGGAAUUCCUGGUGUAGCGGUGAAAUGCGCAGAUAUCAGGAGGAACACCGGUGGCGAAGGCGGAUCUCUGGGCCGAU
rnacentral:rRNA from 1 species